rnacentral:misc_RNA from 1 species
AAAGAAUUCUAGUGGCUGCAACCUUGCUGUUGAUAUAUGGAGUCUUGGGUGCACCGUCUUAGAAAUGGCUACAUCAAAGCCUCCUUUUAGCCAGUAUGAAGGGGUUGCUGCUAUGUUUAAGAUUGGGAAUAGUAAAGAGCUCCCAACUAUACCAGAACAGCUCUCAGAUGAAGCUAAAGAUUUUGUGAGGAAGUGCUUGCAG